rnacentral:rRNA from 1 species
AACGAACGCUGGCGGCAUGCCUAACACAUGCAAGUCGAACGAGACCUUCGGGUCUAGUGGCGCACGGGUGCGUAACGCGUGGGAACCUGCCCUUAGGUUCGGAAUAACUCCCCGAAAGGGGUGCUAAUACCGGAUAAUGUCUUCGGACCAAAGAUUUAGCGCCUUUGGAUGGGCCCGCGUUGGAUUAGCUAGUUGGUAGGGUAAAAGCCUACCAACGCGACGAUCCAUAGCUGAUCUGAGAGGAUGAUCAGCCACACUGGGACGGAGACACGGCCCAGACGCAUACGGGAGGCAGCAGGGGGGAAUGUGGGAGAAUGGGCGGAAGCCGGAUGCAGCAACGCCGCGUGCGGGAUGACGGCCGUAGGGUUGGAAACCGAUUUCGCCUGUGACGAAGCGUGAGUGACGGGAAUGGGUAAAGAAGCACCGGCUAACUACGUG